CUAGUAAUCGCGCAUCAGCCAUGGCGCGGUGAAUACGUUCCCGGGCCUUGUACACACCGCCCGUCAAGCCAUGGAAGCCGGGGGUGCCUGAAGUGCGUGACCGCAAGGAGCGCCCUAAGGUAAAACCGGUGACUGGGGCUAAGUCGUAACAAGGUACC
rnacentral:rRNA from 1 species